GCCGGGAUGGCGGAAUUGGUAGACGCUCAGGCCUGAGGAGCCUGUGGACUUUUUUUAGUCCGUGGGGGUUCAAAUCCCCCUCCCGGCACCA
rnacentral:tRNA from 1 species